CCUACCCAGGGCCGCAGCACAUGGCCCAGGCACCUGGUUCUCCUGGCUUCCAUCGCAGGCAGCCGGGGCAAAGUGCUCAGAAGGGACGAACUGUGGGAAGGAGGUGGGUCAGCUCGGAGGAGGAAGAGGCAGGGGCACCACCAGGACAGAGGAGAGAAGAGUGGCUGGAAGGGGACCUGGUGUUCUGCACCCUGCUGUCACCUCUGUGCUCCUGGGAGCCUGCAAAAGAAGCCCGGCUUGGAGGAAGGGUGAAAAGCAAUGGAGAAGGGGGUGAUACAGAUGGAGCAAUGGAUGGACAGUUGGAUAGGUGGAUGGAUGGAUGAAUGGAUGGAUGGAUGAUGGAGGAUACAUCAACCCAUCAAUCAAUGGAUGAGUCAAUGGAGACUUCAUUUUACUCCUUGAAGGUAAAAAUUGCCUUGAGCAUAUUAAAUGUUUAAUUAUAUGUUAAAUGAAUAAACAAGAGGAUGUAAUGUUGUCUACAGCACAUCUGAUAGCAAAAAUAAUUGAGCAAAUGUCUUAAACAUUUUGGAGUUCUUUGAUCUAAUCAUUUUGCUGAUCAGAUCUGGCCUAGAAACAUAUCAGGAUACAGGGGUGACACAGGACACAGGUGUUCACUGUGGUUUUGCUUACAAUAAUAAAAGUUGGGGGGCAGCCCUCCAAAAGGGACAACAGAGGAUCUUGAUACAGCUACAUAGAAACAUUAUGACUGAAUAUGACAGGGAAAAGAUGUUUUUAAUUAUGUGAGAAAAUUCUCAGGAUGGAAGGAAAAUGCAAAAUCAAAUCAUUAGUAUAUGAAAAUCUGUAUGCAAUGUGAACUUACUAAUGUUUGCUUUUUUUUGAGUGUGUGGGAAAAUGACUUAGAAAAAAUGACGUCUGGGCAUUUCUAAGUGACAAAGAAAUGGCAUCCCUGCUUUACCAACAUCAAGCAAAAAAGAAGUGGAUUCUCUAAAACCUAAUGGUGGUGCCAGUUAUGUGACCGUGGCAAUCAGUUCCGAGGUAUUACAUCUCGAAGUUUCCCCUUUUCCAUCCUUAUAAACUCCUGUGUCCCUUGAGCAAAGUGGUACUGAGAGGCUCAGUGGGACGAUCUGUUUGUUCUUUGGAGCAGUUCUGUCACUCAGCUGCCGGGUUUACCGGGCAUCUGCUUUGGCAGGGUGAGCAGUGGGCUUCGAGGGAGCCUGAGCUCUCAGGACUGCCAACCACCCACCCAAGGGAGGGGUGAGAAGGGUGCCCGAGCCAGGCUUGGCAGUGCACAUCUGUCAGCUCGGCACUCUGGGAGGCUGAGGUAGGAGGAUGGCAAGUUCCAGUCUA